rnacentral:rRNA from 1 species
UGGGGAAUUUUGGACAAUGGGCGAAAGCCUGAUCCAGCAAUGCCGCGUGUGUGAAGAAGGCCUUCGGGUUGUAAAGCACUUUUGUCCGGAAAGAAAUCCUUGGCUCUAAUACAGUCGGGGGAUGACGGUACCGGAAGAAUAAGCACCGGCUAACUACGUGCCAGCAGCCGCGGUAAUACGUAGGGUGCAAGCGUUAAUCGGAAUUGCUGGGCGUAAAGCGUGCGCAGGCGGUUUGCUAAGACCGAUGUGAAAUCCCCGGGCUCAACCUGGGGAACUGCAUUGGUGACUGGCAGGCUAGAGUAUGGCAGAGGGGGGUAGAAUUCCACGUGUAGCAGUGAAAUGCGUAGAGAUGUGGAGGAAUACCGAUGGCGAAGGCAGCCCCCUGGGCCAAUACUGACGCUCAUGCACGAAAGCGUGGGGAGCAAACAGGAUUAGAUACCCUGGUAGUCCACGCCCUAAAACGAUGUCAACUAGUUGUUGGGGAUUCAUUUCCUUAGUAACGUAGCUAACGCGUGAAGUUGACCGCCUGGGGAGUACGGUCGCAAGAUUAAAACUCAAAGGAAUUGACGGGGUCAUA